rnacentral:lncRNA from 1 species
CUGAACAUGAGAUCAAAGGGGGGUGAAAUGUGACUGAGGUGGUUCGAAAUCCAUGCUCUUUUGAUGAGUAGGCUAUCCUUGCUGGAGACUUGAAGACUUUUUUUCAAAUACAAGUUACAUUUAUGGAUUCAAAUAUUCAAUCUGUGCAUUACACAUUCAAAAAUAUUAAAUGAAAAUGCAAUACCCUAAUACAAAUACACAAUUAUAAAAUUAAAAUACAAUUUCUAUUGGCACUGAAAUCGCUACACACAUAUGACACGAAGUGGCAAGGAGUGGAAUGAUAGUUUAAGACUGGUACCCAGACUAGUGCAUCUAGACCAAAUCUUUGCUCCCCAAAUUCUGUGCAGUAAUUGCGGAUUCUGACUCCCGGAAACUCAACUCUCUGGUAACAUUUGUUGGAGCAUGCAGGCAAAACUGUCCUUGAACAACGAAAACAUGCAUGUUAGCUGGCUAAAUAGCUAUACAAUGUUAUAUUUGAUCAAGUGAAACCAUAUUAAAAUCUCAAAUUAGUUAUUAAGCAAGCUAGCUAACUGUUCUAGCUAGCCAACAAUACAAAAAACUCCCAGUCAGCUGGUGCUAAUUGCUAGCUAGCUGUAGCAUUGUGAUAUUCACGGACUUGGAUACCGUUAAAUCUGUUCCCAUCACGAUUAAAAGAAGCCCCAGGAUGGUGUGUGAGCUGCUAGUCUCCUCACUGUGGUUCCUUUUUGUCAUCUUCUGGGUGGAGACCAUAAGUGUGUGGCUGUUCCUAUGCAUCUUCUACCAGGACCAGGCAUUUUAUCACUGGGGAGAUGGGGUAUUUGCAGAUGACCCCGGCCAAAUGCUGUACAUGUUGAGCAGAGUGGAUCCCUCUGGACAGAUGCAGACCUGAAACAGUGAAAGCAUAUGAGGAACAGCACAUAAUGGAUUGUUCUCUCCAGAUAUAAAAUGAUGGGAGCUGUAUGUUUGAGACACUCCUAUAAAAUAAUGAGAAUCAGUAGUAUUUUUCUACCUCCCUGCUCCUGGUUCCCUCCUAGAUUUAGCGCAUGGUCAUUGUCAACAUGAAGAAACUGCAUUGAAUGCAGUUGGAUUGUUGUUGGAUAUGGGUAGAGACACCCAGCUUGGCAAGAAGAACCAGGGAGGGGGUCUUGCCGUAACUGUGGAAUAGAUGCAUAGUGAGGCAGCUAAGUGUUCCCCACCAAAGCAUGAACCAUCAUACAUAUGUUCUAUUUCCAUUGUCUGUGUUAAUAUGUGAUAUAGGUCAAACAAUGUGGGAAAACACUUGGCAGAUGCUUUGAAAAAAUAUUUUUACAUGAGGUUUAGUCCAUAGCCAAUGUCAUUUUUGUGGAUUUCGGCAGACUUGCACAUUAUCAUGGUUGUACACAUUUUAGUUUGUUUAUUUGUUUGUUUUCACAUCUGUGUCUGUAUACAUCAUCUGCUUCAGUCUGGGCACUUACAUAACAGUGUCACUGGAUUGUUUUGCUAUGUAAAACACUAACAACAUUAUUGACAUGAUACACAUUCAAUUAAAAACUUUACUCUUGGAAAUCUUCCAACAUGACGAUAAUAUAAUAUGCACUCAUCAGUAUUUUGUCAUUUGCGCUCAAACUAAAAUGUUGAAUGUAGCUUUUUUUUUUGCUGUUGUAAAGCUCACACCACACUAAUAAUGUCAUGAAUGCUCUUCUAGCAAAUGUGGAAAAUUAUUACAAACCUUAGAUGAAUUCUACAUUUUGACUUGUACCUGUUCAUAACUUGUAAAUUGUCUUCAUUGAAGAUCAUCCUUCUGUAAUGUCAGUCAGCCUAACACAAGUAUUGUCUUUGUAAUGUUGACUUCUUCUUGUUUAGGAAAGUGGCAUGUUGGGUUAAACUGGGCAGUGACACCAAUGGUACGUUUGGUUUUAUUUGUUUGCAUCUGAAGACAAUAAAUUCUGACAUUUUCCAAGCUUGUUGUACUACUAUUUCAAACAGUUUCAGAUUUGCUGCAGAUUGAUGGUUGGUAUAUAAUUUCUCAAUUUUAUAUUCCAAUACAGUAGAGGGCAGUGAUGUGUUAUUUUAGUAUCUUGCUUUCCAACGUAGAAUCAUAUAAAUUGAUAAGGGGUAGUUUAUGGUACCACCAAAGAUUUUUAUGACUAAACCAAGAUGGACCACAGCCCGUUGUUUCAAAUGAGAACAAAUGAGCCAUAGUGGGCAGAGCAAGCAAGGAGGUGGGCAGAGCCAAG